rnacentral:tRNA from 1 species
UAAGGUGUAGCUCAGUGGUGGAGCACGUGCCCAGCAUGCAUGAGGCCCAGGGUUCAAUCCCCAGUACCUCCA